UGGGGAAUAUUGGACAAUGGGCGAAAGCCUGAUCCAGCAAUGCCGCGUGAGUGAUGAAGGCCUUAGGGUUGUAAAGCUCUUUUACCCGGGAUGAUAAUGACAGUACCGGGAGAAUAAGCCCCGGCUAACUCCGUGCCAGCAGCCGCGGUAAUACGGAGGGGGCUAGCGUUGUUCGGAAUUACUGGGCGUAAAGCGCACGUAGGCGGCUUUGUAAGUUAGAGGUGAAAGCCCGGGGCUCAACUCCGGAAUUGCCUUUAAGACUGCAUCGCUAGAAUUGUGGAGAGGUAAGUGGAAUUCCGAGUGUAGAGGUGAAAUUCGUAGAUAUUCGGAAGAACACCAGUGGCGAAGGCGACUUACUGGACACAUAUUGACGCUGAGGUGCGAAAGCGUGGGGAGCAAACA
rnacentral:rRNA from 2 species